rnacentral:rRNA from 1 species
GAUGAACGCUGGCGGCGUGCCUAAUACAUGCAAGUCGAGCGAACAGAUGAGGAGCUUGCUUCUCUGACGUUAGCGGCGGACGGGUGAGUAACACGUGGAUAACCUACCUAUAAGACUGGGAUAACUUCGGGAAACCGGAGCUAAUACCGGAUAAUAUAUUGAACCGCAUGGUUCAAUAGUGAAAGACGGUUUUGCUGUCACUUAUAGAUGGAUCCGCGCCGCAUUAGCUAGUUGGUAAGGUAACGGCUUACCAAGGCAACGAUGCGUAGCCGACCUGAGAGGGUGAUCGGCCACACUGGAACUGAGACACGGUCCAGACUCCUACGGGAGGCAGCAGUAGGGAAUCUUCCGCAAUGGGCGAAAGCCUGACGGAGCAACGCCGCGUGAGUGUUGAAGGUCUUCGGAUCGUAAAACUCUGUUAUUAGGGAAGAACAAAUGUGUAAGUAACUAUGCACGUCUUGACGGUACCUAAUCAGAAAGCCACGGCUAACUACGUG